UCAGUAACGGCGAGUGAACAGGGAAAAGCUCAAAGUUGGAACCUCCUUGGCCUAGCCAAGGCGGAUUGUAAACUAAAGUUUUUGGGUAGUUUGGGCUAGCSUGGUAAAAAAAUCCUCUGGAAAGGGGUGACAUAGAGGGUGAAAUCCCCGUCUUUGGCCAGAGCAUAGUCUUGCGUUUGCCUAGGAACGAAGAGUCAGGUUGUUUGGGAAUGCAGCCUAAAUUGGGAGGUAAAUCUCUCCUAAAGCUAAAUAUUGACGAAAGACCGAUAGCGAACAAGUACCGUGAGGGAAAGAUGAAAAGCACUUUGAAAAGAGGGUCAAAAAGUACGUGAAAUCGCUGAGAGGGAACCGUAUGAAAUCAGUCUGAUUGCCUGGUAAUCAACCUAAGAUUCGUCUUUGGUGCACUUGCCAGAUAAUUAGCCAACAACAGUUUGGUGUGGAGGAAAAAACUUGCUGGAAUGUAGCCACGGCCUUCGGUCUUGGUGUUAUAGCCGGUAAGAAAAUACUUUGURCUAGACUGAGGAAUGCAGUGAACCCUUCGGGGCAAGAAUUCGGUGCGCUUUUGUUUGAAUAAUGGUGAAUCUCUGCUUCGGGUGGUGCGCUAUUAUUCGGGCGAAACUCGUAUCGAUUUUCUUUAUUUCACUUAGGUUGUUGGCCUAAUGAUUUUAUAUGACCCGUCUUGAAACACGGACCAAGGAGUCCACCAUAUACGCGAGUCUUUGGGCGUAGAAACCCAUGGGCGUAAGGAAACUGACCAAGAUAUGAAGGCGCAAGCUGGCAAUAUCCUCCGGCGAUGACGUUUUAACUGACUUGACCGAGAGAAAGCGUAUAUGAUGGGACCCGAAAGAUGGUGAACUAUACUUGAAUAGGGUGAAGCCAGAGGAAACUCUGGUGGAAGCUCGCAGCGAUUCUGACGUGCAAAUCGAUCGUCAAAUUUGAGUAUAGGGGCGAAAGACUAAUCGA
rnacentral:rRNA from 1 species